rnacentral:rRNA from 1 species
GACGAACGCUGGCGGCGUGCUUAACACAUGCAAGUCGAACGCUGAAGCACCAUCUUGCUGGUGUGGAGGAGUGGCGAACGGGUGAGUGAUACGUGAGUAACCUGCCCUUGACUCUGGGAUACGCCCGGGGAACUGGGUCUAAUACUGGAUGCUACAUGUCACCGCAUGGGGGUGUGUGGAAAGGGUUUACUGGUCUUGGAUGGGCUCACGGCCUAUCAGCUUGUUGGUGAGGGAAUGGCUCACCACGGCGACGACGGGUAGCCGGCCUUAGAGGGUGACCGGCCACACUGGGACUGCGACAGGGCCCAGAAGCCUACGGGAGGCAGCAGUGGGGAAUAUUGCACAAUGGGGGCAAGCGUGAUGAAGAGACGCCGCGUGAGGGAUGCCGUCCUUCGGGUUGUAAACCUCGUUCAGCAGGGAAGACGCCACAAGUGACGGUACCUGCAGAAGAAGCGCCGGCUAACUACGUG